UAGGGAAUCUUCCGCAAUGGGCGAAAGCCUGACGGAGCAACGCCGCGUGAGUGAUGAAGGUCUUCGGAUCGUAAAACUCUGUUACUAGGGAAGAACAAAUGUGUAAGUAACUAUGCACGUCUUGACGGUACCUAAUCAGAAAGCCACGGCUAACUACGUGCCAGCAGCCGCGGUAAUACGUAGGUGGCAAGCGUUAUCCGGAAUUAUUGGGCGUAAAGCGCGCGUAGGCGGUUUUUUAAGUCUGAUGUGAAAGCCCACGGCUCAACCGUGGAGGGUCAUUGGAAACUGGAAAACUUGAGUGCAGAAGAGGAAAGUGGAAUUCCAUGUGUAGCGGUGAAAUGCGCAGAGAUAUGGAGGAACACCAGUGGCGAAGGCGACUUUCUGGUCUGUAACUGACGCUGAUGUGCGAAAGCGUGGGGAUCAAACAGG
rnacentral:rRNA from 1 species